rnacentral:rRNA from 1 species
UACGCGUGGGAAUCUGACCUUGGGAUAGGAAUAACGUUGGGAAACCGACGCUAAUACCGGUCCCCCAUAAGGGGGAAAGAUUUAUCGCAAAAGGAGGGGCCCGCGUCGGAUUAACUAGUUGGUGGGGUAAUGGCUUACCAAGGCGAUGAUCCGUAGCUGGUCUGAAAGGAUGAUCAGCCACACUGGGACUGAAACACGGCCCAAACUCCUACGGGAGGCAGCAGUGGGGAAUAUUGGACAAUGGGCGAAAGCCUGAUCCAACAAUGCCGCGUGAGUGAUGAAGGCCUUAAGGUUGU